ACAAAUGCAAUGGCUACUUCAAAACAAUUUUCAUAUGAUAGAUUCUAUACUUGUUAAAGGUGAGCUAAAGGGGCAAGGUGUACAAGGUGCUGACUACUGACUGUACAAGCAAAAGGCGAGCUAUGUCUAACAGAUGUGCCUUCUCCCAGGCAAAAGGCAUUAGAAGGUCCACCUUCUUCCAGGCAAAAGGCCCUAGAAAGGCAUGGCUUCCUAAUUUCCAUCUUCUGUG
rnacentral:misc_RNA from 1 species